rnacentral:rRNA from 1 species
GCUUACGGCCAUACCACCCUGAACACGCCCGAUCUCGUCCGAUUUGGGAAGCUAAGCAGGGUCGGGCCUGGUUAGUACUUGGAUGGGAGGCCACCUGGGAAUACCAGGUGUUGUAAGCU